rnacentral:pre_miRNA from 1 species
AAACCGUCCCAUAACUUUUGCAACUGUAGCAGUUUUAGCCCCCCAAAGGCAAAAAAAAAAUUAACACGUGGCACCUCACUUAGGGUGCCACGUCAGCGUAUACCGAGUUAAAAUUGGCAUCGGGGGCCAAAACUGCCACAGGUGCAAAACAUAGGGGGUGGUAU